AUGCUCUGGUUUCUCUUCAUAACGAAUAAAUCUUUUGCCUUUUACUAAAGAUUUCUGUGGAGAGGAAGAAUUAUGAGUUUGUAACUGAAUUCUCUGAUGUCCUGCUCAGGCAGGGCU
rnacentral:snRNA from 1 species